GUUCUUCAACAUCCUUUGGAAGUGUCAUGGUCCACUGAUGUUACCGAUGAUCCCAGACUAAAUUUUGGGUGGGAUGAAACUGAGAAUAAUAAUUCCAUGGAUGCACUGCUAGAUGCCAUUCUGGAAGCAGAGAGUGAGUGCUGCCCACCUCCUCUGCUGGUGCACAAGAAGGAUCUGAAUCCUGUGACAGCAGUGUUGGUUCCACUUGCACCCAAGAAAGAACCGCAGGAGGAGUCGAAGAGAUUAUGGGGCAAUUGGAGUAUAUGAUGGAUGUCAAAGAUGGCAGUGUAAUCAGCAUAUGGAAAUGAAUACACUGGAAGGAAGGUUUCUGGGAAAGCCAGGAGGCAGCCUCAUAAAGACAUGCACUAGACAGUACACGGUUAAUGCUCUUUUCAUAAACAUACCAAGACUAGGACCUCUGAAGGAAUCAACCUCCAAAUUUUACAGGAGAGUGGGCUGAACUAACAAUUUCUAUGAGAAAUCAAGGAAAUUCCAACAUUAAAUCAGAAAUUGACUAUGCUGAUGAAGUUGAGGGAUAUGUAGCAGAGAGAAGUGAAGAUGAAGAGUUUUGAACAAUGAGGAAUUAGUGGAAGAGGAUUCAUAUGCUGUAAAUGUUCUAAAGGUCAAUGAAAAUUACAAGUGCUACCAGUAGAAUGUUGUUUGAAGAGAUGAAGGUGUCUGCAGAUAAAUUUUGGUAGAAGUGGCACUCUAGCACAAGUACUUUCCCCUUGAGAGAGCAAUGCAGCAUGUACUAAAAAUAACAACAGCUUGAAGGAAAAUGAAUUUUGUGGUUUCACAUGCAGUUCAUGCAAGCAGAGCUUUUCUUGAAAAUAUAGGCACAUAAAGCAUGUUUUUAUUCACACUGAUAGUGUGCUUCUGCAUAUAAUGUUGUGAGGUACUUCGCACGAUAGUGGCUUCAGCAAGCAUUUAAGAAAGAGUGAACAUAAUUGAGGUAUGUCUAUAAUGAGAGAUGGAUUACACAAUGCUUGUGAGAUAUAUAAAUGUGGUGAGAUUUACAGAAACAAAACUACAAAAACCUAUCCAAAUGUUUGUCACUCCAACCUGAUAGAGAAGGGAUCUUUAUCUUAAGAGUGUUGUAACAGCUCGCUUAGAAAACUGAGGAAUAUCAGUUGUAUUUCUUUUGUAGAAAGCAGAUCUUAUAGUUCUGUGUACGAUACUGACGAAAUGCCAUGCAAUUGUGAUGUUUGUGUGAAAUCCUUUAUUAUGAUCAUCUCCAGAAUCAAGCAUUAUUACAUGUUGGCGACAGACGUCACAAUUGUGAUUUUGAUAAGAAAAUGUUUGUUGUGAGUGUAUGGUAAACUUAAGAUGUCACAUUAGCACAUCCUGGCAAAAGGCCACAUAAAUGUGAAGUUUGAGCGAAAUCUUUAUUGAACAUUGUGAUAUCAAUACAUACUGUCGAAGUUGGAAACAUAUGUGAUGUUUGUGGGAAAUCCAUCAGUGUUUCCAGAUUUCCAGUUCCACCACAGUGUCACGUGUUGGGAAGAGGCAUUCAGUAAUACAUGCUAAUGAGAUGUCACACUAACGCGAUGUCCUUGCGAUAUAUAUUACAAAUUUUGAUAACCUUCAGGGGUAGACAUUAACACACACUGAUGAGAGACAUAACAUGUAUGUUUUGUUUAUGGAAGCCCUGUUCUGUUGUGAUAGCAAGACCCACAUCUUAGUAUUUAUUAAAGAGUGACUACUGUGAUAAUUAUAAGAGGUUGUUUUCAAGUCAUGUAUACAGAAAGUUAUAUAUUGUACAGAUAAUGCAAAAAUUAGGAUUAGUAACUACGAGCAAAAUCAAACAAGUGCAGUUUAACUGCAAUUUGUUUAUUGAAGUCUGUAACUAGAUUGAUAAUUCAGUGUGCUGCACAAGGCUAAACAGUGUGAUUAUUGUUAGUUAUGUUAUUUUAAAGUUUUAUUGAAAUCCAUGAAAUAAUGUGCUGUGUAGUUUACAGGUAGAAAAUUGUGUUAUCUUUCAUGUGGAAACAUAAAUCACAAUUUAUAAUGCUAUAUCUGGUUACACAUCAAAAUGUGCAAUGAAAGAAAAUUUGUUACUCAAGGUUGUUGUCUGGAACCAUAUGGCUACAUGUUAAAUAUUUGGUUGAUUUAUAUCAACUUGUCUGUUGCAGAGCUCUUACAAUAUUUUGUUGUUUUUAAAAUUAUUUACUUAUGUUGGAUUUU